UGGGGAAUCUUGGACAAUGGGGGAAACCCUGAUCCAGCCAUGCCGCGUGAGUGAUGAAGGCCUUAGGGUUGUAAAGCUCUUUCGCACGCGACGAUGAUGACGGUAGCGUGAGAAGAAGCCCCGGCUAACUUCGUGCCAGCAGCCGCGGUAAUACGAAGGGGGCUAGCGUUGUUCGGAAUUACUGGGCGUAAAGCGCACGUAGGCGGCUUGGUAAGUUGGGGGUGAAAUCCCGGGGCUCAACCUCGGAAUUGCCUUCAAGACUGCUUGGCUUGAGUUCGGAAGAGGUGAGUGGAAUUCCCAGUGUAGAGGUGAAAUUCGUAGAGAUUGGGAAGAACACCAGUGGCGAAGGCGGCUCACUGGUCCGAUACUGACGCUGAGGUGCGAAAGCGUGGGGAGCAAACAGGAUUAGAUACCCCCGUAGUCC
rnacentral:rRNA from 1 species